rnacentral:rRNA from 1 species
GGGUGACAGGUGGUGCAUGGUUGUCGUCAGCUCGUGUCGUGAGAUGUGGGUUAAGUCCCGCAACGAGCGCAACCCUCGACCUUAGUUGCCAGCAUUCAGUUGGGCACUCUAAGGUGACUGCCGGCUAAAAGUCGGAGGAAGGUGGGGAUGACGUCAAAUCAUCAUGCCCCUUAUGACCUGGGCUACACACGUGCUACAAUGGGCGGUACAAAGGGUCGCGAACCCGCGAGGGGGAGCCAAUCCCAAAAAGCCGCUCUCAGUUCGGAUUGCAGGCUGCAACUCGCCUGCAUGAAGCCGGAAUCGCUAGUAAUCGCGGAUCAGCAUGCCGCGGUGAAUACGUUCCCGGGCCUU